UCUUGCUCUAUUAGCAGAGCACGUUCAAAGUUGAUCUUGUUUGUUGGGUCACUCAAGAGAGCUGUUUAUCCAACUGAUUUGGGUGAGGACACUUGGAGAUGUCUUUGAAGUUGUAAUGGCCAUGCCCAUCUGUGUAUAGGAAAGGAAAUUGACUUGAAUCCAUAAAAGGCGACUGAUUUGUAUCAAAACUAAGUCAUUUUUAUUUACCGAGGAGAGAUCUAUGAUAAUCAUUUAUCUCUCCUCGGUAAAUAAAAAUGACUUA
rnacentral:misc_RNA from 1 species